rnacentral:rRNA from 1 species
CAACUGGAGAGUUUGAUCCUGGCUCAGAACGAACGCUGGCGGCGUGCUUAACACAUGCAAGUCGAGCGAGAAAGGGAGCUUCGGCUCCUGAGUAAAGCGGCGCACGGGUGAGUAACACGUGGGUAACCUGCCUUUCAGUGGGGGAUAACAGCUCGAAAGGGCUGCUAAUACCGCAUGCGUCCUGUGUGGCCUUGGCCGUGCAGGGGAAAGAGGCGCAAGUCUCGCUGGAAGAUGGGCCCGCGGUCCAUUAGCUUGUUGGUGGGGUGAUGGCCUACCAAGGCGACGAUGGAUA